rnacentral:rRNA from 2 species
GGACUGGCUCAGGGAGGUCGGCAACGACCACCCAGAGCCGGAAAGUUGGUCAAACUCGGUCAUUUAGAGGAAGUAAAAGUCGUAACAAGGUCUCCGUAGGUGAACCUGCGGAGGGAUCAUUA